rnacentral:rRNA from 1 species
ACAGAGUGACAGGUGGUGCAUGGUUGUCGUCAGCUCGUGUCGUGAGAUGUUGGGUUAAGUCCCGCAACGAGCGCAACCCUUGAUCUUAGUUGCCAGCAUUYAGUUGGGCACUCUAAGGUGACUGCCGGUGACAAACCGGAGGAAGGUGGGGAUGACGUCAAAUCAUCAUGCCCCUUAUGACCUGGGCUACACACGUGCUACAAUGGACAGAACAAAGGGCUGCGAGACCGCAAGGUUUAGCCAAUCCCACAAAUCUGUUCUCAGUUCGGAUCGCAGUCUGCAACUCGACUGCGUGAAGCUGGAAUCGCUAGUAAUCGCGGAUCAGCAUGCCGCGGUGAAUACGUUCCCGGGCCUUGUACACACCGCCCGUCACACCACGAGAGUUUGCAACACCCGAAGU